CCUACGGGGGGCAGCAGUGAGGAAUAUUGGUCAAUGGUCGGGAGACUGAACCAGCCAAGCCGCGUGAGGGAUGAAGGCCCAGAGUAUCGUAAACUUCUUUUGUCAGGGCACAAAGGCGGGGACGUGUCCCCGGAUGAGUGUACCUGAAGAAAAAGCAUCGGCUAACUCCGUGCCAGCAGCCGCGGUAAUACGGAGGAUGCGAGCGUUAUCCGGAUUUAUUGGGUUUAAAGGGUGCGCAGGCGGUCUGUUAAGUCAGCGGUCAAAGCCCGGGGCUCAACCCCGGCCCGCCGUUGAAACGGGCAGUCUCGAGUUGGAGAGAAGUAGGCGGAAGGGGCGGUGUAGCGGUGAAAUGCAGAGAUAGCGCGCAGAAGUCCGAUUGCGAGGGCAGCAUGCCGGCUCCACAGUGACGCUGAGGCACGAAAGCGUGGGUAUCGAACAGGAUUAGAUACCCUUGUAGUC
rnacentral:rRNA from 1 species